rnacentral:rRNA from 1 species
AGCGAACGCUGGCGGCAGGCCUAACACAUGCAAGUCGAACGAACUCUUCGGAGUUAGUGGCGGACGGGUGAGUAACACGUGGGAACGUGCCUUUUGGUUCGGAAUAACUCAGGGAAACUUGUGCUAAUACCGAAUGUGCCCUUCGGGGGAAAGAUUUAUCGCCAUUAGAGCGGCCCGCGUCUGAUUAGCUAGUUGGUGAGGUAACGGCUCACCAAGGCGACGAUCAGUAGCUGGUCUGAGAGGAUGACCAGCCACACUGGGACUGAGACACGGCCCAGACUCCUACGGGAGGCAGCAGUGGGGAAUCUUGCGCAAUGGGCGAAAGCCUGACGCAGCCAUGCCGCGUGAAUGAUGAAGGUCUUAGGAUUGUAAAAUUCUUUCACCGGGGACGAUAAUGACGGUACCCGGAGAAGAAACCCCGGCUAACUUCGU